rnacentral:rRNA from 1 species
UACAGAGGGUGCAAGCGUUAAUCGGAAUUACUGGGCGUAAAGCGCGCGUAGGUGGUUCGUUAAGCUGGAUGUGAAAUCCCCGGGCUCAACCUGGGAACUGCAUUCAAAACUGUCGAGCUAGAGUAUGGUAGAGGGUGGUGGAAUUUCCUGUGUAGCGGUGAAAUGCGUAAAUAUAGGAAGGAACACCAGUGGCGAAGGCGACCACCUGGACUGAUACUGACACUGAGGUGCGAAAGCGUGGGGAGCAAACAGG